UGCCAGCAGCCGCGGUAAUACGGGGAGCAAGCGUUGUCCGGAAUCAUUGGGCGUAAAGGGCAUGUAGGUGGGACCUUAAGUCAACUGUUAAAGAAUACGGCUUAACCGUAUUUUGCAGCUGAUACUGGGGUUCUUGAGAGUGAGAGGGGACAGAGGAAUAUCAGGUGUAGCGGUGGAAUGCGUAGAUAUCUGAUAGAACAUCGGAGGCGAAGGCGUCUGUCUGGCUCAUAACUGACACUGAAAUGCGAAAGCAUGGGUAGCAAACAGGAUUAGAUA
rnacentral:rRNA from 1 species